rnacentral:rRNA from 1 species
AGCAGCCGCGGUAAUUCCAGCUCCAAUAGCGUAUAUUAAAGUUGUUGCAGUUAAAAAGCUCGUAGUUGAAUUUCGAGAUCAAAUUGUUGGUCGUGCCUCGGUACGUACUGGCAUUAUUGAUUUCUCCCUUCUGAAGAACCUUGAUGUCAUUAAUUUGGUGUCUUGGGGAAUCAGGACCGUUACUUUGAAAAAAUUAGAGUGUUUAAAGCAGGCUCACGCUUGAAUACAUUAGCAUGGAAUAACGGAAUAGGACGUUUGAUUCUAUUUUGUUGGUUUCUAGGAUCGACGUAAUGAUUAAUAGGGAUAGUUGGGGGCAUUAGUAUUCAAUUGUCAGAGGUGAAAUUCUUGGAUUUAUUGAAGACUAACUACUGCGAAAGCAUUUGCCAAGGAUGUUUUCAUUAAUCAAGAACGAAAGUUAGGGGAUCGAAGACGAUCAGAUACCGUCGUAGUCUUAACCAUAAACUAUGCCGACUAGGGAUCGGAUGAUGUUAAUUUUUAAUGACUCAUUCGGCGCCUUACG